GCCGUCGUGGUGAAAUUGGUAGACACGCUAUCUUGAGGGGGUAGUGGCCCAUGGCUGUGCGAGUUCGAGUCUCGCCGACGGCACCA
rnacentral:tRNA from 2 species